UCCGGCUUAUCACCGUCAGUUUCUUUAGAGUGCCCAACUAAAUGGUGGCAACUAAAGACGAGGGUUGCGCUCGUUGCGGGACUUAACCCAACAUCUCACGACACGAGCUGACGACAGCCAUGCAGCACCUGUGUCCAGGUCCCGUAAGGGGAGGAAUCCAUCUCUGGAAACCGUCCUACCAUGUCAAACGCUGGUAAGGUUCUGCGCGUUGCUUCGAAUUAAACCACAUGCCCCACCGCUUGUGCAGGCCCCCGUCAAUUUCUUUGAGUUUUAGCCUUGCGGCCGUACUCCCCAGGCGGGGCACUUAAUGCGUUAGCUACGGCACGGAAGGCGUUGAUAACCCCCCACACCUAGUGCCCAACGUUUACGGCGUGGACUAC
rnacentral:misc_RNA from 1 species